ncrna:unclassified sequences Glutamine riboswitch
CACGUUCAUCACUAUUUUUUGAGUGACGGAAGUAGACGAAAGUCGAAGGAACGCAUG